ensembl:lncRNA
UUUUGUGCUAGUUAUAAUUUUUAUAAAUUUCAAACAAACUGUGGUUCUACACAGGUCAGAAUGGCCUAAUUACAGGAAGUUCAUUUGCACAAUUUUUUCUUGUAAUAAACUCAUACAUUCUGUCUUGACUGGGAAAAAGGACAGGUUAUUCUGUGCUCUUUCCCUGUCUGAUUAUCUCUCAUCGGUCACAAUAUACAAAUACAUCAUUAUCAACAGCAUGAAAAGAUGUAAGAAAAAAACACUUAGCUGAGGAGAAGAAAUCUUAGCAGCUAUUUCAGCUCGAGCUGCAACAAGAAAUAGACAAUUUGGCUCUUUUUUUAUUAUUAUUAUAUAUUUCUAAUCAUAUAUAUAUUUGAAGUCUGAGUAUUUUUGGAAAGGAAGCACAUGGCCUUCCUCACACCCAAUCCUGUUUGAAAUCUCAAGAGUCUAAGAAAAUUAUGAAUAAUAAAAUGGCUUUCCAUCACAUACACAACCAGAAUAUAAGACACACGCACAGCUUUGCUGUCACUGGCAAGAAAAGCCAGUGUUCAGAUGUGGUUUGGCCACAGCCAUUUAGGAUCAAGACAAUGACCAUUGGUCUGAUUCUCCACGCAGUGGGGUUAGACGUGAGAGGAAGAGAGGGUCAGGCCUCAUUAGAGUUUAGCGUGGCUUACUAAAAGCAAGACCUGUGUAUCACGGCAGCUGCCCAUCUACCUGUUUGUCAUUACCGUCUGUAAGGAAGGAGUCUACACCCAGCUGAGCAGAGUUUUGAGGUUGUGAAGUUUUAAAAGUUUCACAGAAGAUGGCAGCAGAGCAGAGGAAGGAAAUCCAAGUCAAAACCUCAGCCAAGAGGGCAGGUCUCGCUAGUCCGACCCAGAGAGAACAGCCAGGCAGCAGGCACGGACUCAGGGGUCAAGCAGCAAGGGAACAAUGCUCAACCAUGAGUGCUGCUACAGCAGAGAUACACCUUGGACCUUGUCUCUUCUACAACUGAAACUUAGUGGCAACCAUUACUUUUAAAUGACUUUCUGUUCACUCUAUCUUCUACAAACAACACUGAAAUGAAAUCCACAUUUGAAAACUAUGAUUUUUAGGUCUAUCUACCUAAAAAUUAUGGUGUCAAAGACCUACAUAUAGAAUAAAGUACACAUUAGUCUUGCUAGACAUCACCAAAUCAUAUUCUAGACGGUACAUGGAGAGUCAUUCCCUUAAUUAUCACCUUGCUUGACAGAAAUACAGUAAUUAAAAGACUAUCCCAUCUACUAAUUUAAAAGGAAAAAAAAAAAAUCAAACCCUGUUUUGUCUCUUCAGCGAAGCCAGAAGGUUACUUUUUGUUGGCUGUUCUCAGACUUGCCAGCAGCCUGAUCUGUCAUCGAACUUCAUUCUUUAAAAACGCAAAGCCAGCAGUGUGACACUGUCUCACUGACAUCUGCACCACAGGUAUCAGCCAGGCAAAGGGCUCUGGUUUCUCCCCAGCAGCAGCUGCCUUGGUUGCAGUAUCGUCUGGGCUUGGAACGUGGAGACACAAACAGGCAGAAACAGCCCUUGGCUCACUGGCACUGCAGGAAGGUUAAAGACACAACUAGUGGUUGUGGGCUCCCUGCUCAGGUUCAGCAGUGUCCAAGGAUAGCUGUGAUACAACCAGCUACCAAAGACCACUGAGAGCCAGACUGCUGUGCCACUGCUGCCCACAGCCAUAGAGCAGUGAGUUACUUGUCAUCAUCAGGAUAUUCAUGGUGCAGAAGUGACUCAAACUUUGGUCCAACAGGAUAAAACACAAGAUUUUGGGAGGUGGAAAAAAAAAUAAGAAAAAACCAACACCCCCCCCCAAAACCAAAAAAAAACAAACAACCCCCCCCAAAAUUAAAGCCAAACCCCAAACUGUUUUCAAGCGCAAAGCAGGGAGGAAAAUUGUUAUAAUCCAGCCCAUACCUUUGCAGUUGACAUGACGACAUGGUGAGUUGGGUGACAGGAUACACUUCUGUAGCAAUCAUCUUCCCUGUUCGAGCUCUAGGCUGCCUCACAGGAUGCCACUACUGACACUCAUGGAGGGUACAGCAGGACAUAUGAGGUUGAAUGCUUUGCUUUCCCCUGGAGGGUCCCCAAUUUUCAAACACAUGCUAAAAUUUAGCAUCAUAAUUCACCACAGGGGAAAUCCAAUAGCUCCAAUUUUUUUCCAGUUUUAGGAAGAUAUUGAGGCACCAGGGAUACAGGACUAGCACACUGUCACCCUGCACACAGCAGAGGUAGGAAAUGGACCGACAAUACCUGAUUUUCCAUUUCCUGUUCAAACAGAGCCUUCCCACUGCCAUUUCACACCAUUAGAAUGAGAUUCCUGUAAAAAAACUCCAAAGUGCAGGUUUGCAUCCUUCUGUUUGUCAGCAAUGUUACAAAUCCUAGUUUUGGCAGUUUCAUAUACCCAUGGUAACCCUUCCCCUAUCUUUCUCUCUCACACACAUACACAAGCUUACUAUAUUUUAUCAAUGUGCAAUCAAAGCUCUACCCCUUUCCUCUUCUAUGCUUAGGGCAGGUGUAGACAGAAGCACUGUUAUCAGGCCAUGCAAAAAAUACACAAAGUAAUACAGAAACCAAAAUGAACUCAUUUUGGGGAGAUGAUAAAGUAAUUGCACUGCAAGAAAACAUCACUGCAUAUUUCCUUAGGGGACUGAAAGGAAUCAAUUCUUCCCUCAAGAUGUUCAUGACUACAGUAGACUAAUAGGAUUGAUGUUCCUGAGAGGCUACAUGUCAUUUUUAAGGUAAAUAACCAGCACAAAACAGACAAGAUCUUACAUCUGUAGGACAAAAUUAGCUUCCAAAAAGGUACAGAACUCUCAAGUCCUUCAGUCAUGAAAAACAAUGUCAGAAAUCACAGAGUUUAGAUAUUAAGGGUUAGAAGCACCAUGGGAAUUCACCACCACAGUACAACUAAUAAUUAACCAAUAAGACUUCACAGGCAAACAAAAUCUGAAUAAACCUUUUACCUACUCUAAGGCUUUUUCUUGGAUGGGACUAUCUACCUUCUUCACAGCUAUCCUGACCUCAUACACUAAGAUAUUUGCAAUGCCAGCCUCCACAGAGACACAGGGAAAAACAUUCAGGUCCCUGCAAAAAUAAUAGUAAUGAUACUGACUCCUACUAUUUGCUCAGAGGCUCAGAUACUGAAGAGUGGGUUUUGGUUUUGCGUCAUCUCUAUUUUUAGCGCUUUCGUCCCCUUUGUUAUUUACAUAGAGCACCACUAGUCUCAGUGUUAAACCAAAAAUAACUAAUAGUGAAAGCCAAUCACUCACUCUUGACCUUCUAGGGUAAUUUUUACCAGGCUGAUUUUUGCCUGUAUACAACUCUGAGUCAAUACUUAUCUUUACUAAAGUAUUAGCAGCUUUUGUGGGACCUAAGACCCAAUUACCAUCAAAAUCCCUUCAUGCUUUAACAGCUGCUCUAAAUGAGCUAAUGGCUUAUAGAAGAAUAAUAUAACAUCUGUGAUCAUUUUAUAUUAUACAUUACAGCCUUAUGUGGCAGAGAUUUGGUAGUCCUUUAAUCAAAUGUCCUGGAAAGAAGUAUUUAACAACAACAAUCUAUCCACUCACUGGAGCAUCUAAUGCUCACUGCCUAUUUGCAAUGCUUAAGUGUAUUCCAAAUGGGGGAUGAAACGUAUCUACUCCAUAGCGCAGCGCACAAAGAAAGCAUGCAGUCUACUCAAACAUAUGACAUAAAAUGGCAUUCAAUUGAAUUCUCGGCACCAAAUGCAAAGGAUUGUGAUCCAGCAAUCACAGACUGCAGAGGGGAGAGGGGAAUGACAUAUUGUAAAGAGUUCAAAAUGUUCUUUGUCACAGUAGCUGUUACACAUCUUUGCUUCCCUAAGCCCUGCACCUCGAUCUCAUAGCCAGGAGUUGCUAUUUGUAUCAAUCCAACACGAUUCUCUAUGCAGCAGGUCAUUUGCUGUGCCGUUCCAGAAGUAGUCAUAUCAUUGCUGCACGAAACCUCUCUGAUGGUCCAAGUCAGAAGUUUCCUUACACAACCACCCUAAAAUCGGAUGGUUUUGGUGUUGACCAUCAGCAAAAAGGGCACAUUUGUGAUGUAUCAGCUGGAAUUAAGGAGGAUGGGGAAGGCACAGCCAGAGGCCAGCAAAUAGAAAAACCACCAGGCGACCCCAUGGUAGAGCAAGAACUCAUCACCAUGCAUGUGCCCCUCUGCAUAACUUGGUGUUCAAGCGAAGUUGCCAAAAGGUGCGUGCAUAGUAACUCUUCAGCUCUGCUGUUGACCUAAUUUAGGCCACAUCUUCUGAAACAGUUUGAUAAUCAAUGUGAGAAAGAUUUUUCUCCUCUAAUACUGAGAAUGGGUUUUGAUCCUUUUUGGAUGUUUAAUGCUCAUUUUAAGGUUGUGUUUCCCAGCUUGCCAGGUGGACAGCACAGUUCUCAUCUGUUCAUGCCGAUAACGUUUUAGUGAAUGAUGAACCUCAGAGCUUGCGAGAAAGGCAACUUUGAUCCAGUGUCCACCCAAAAUUAAAGAGAGAUGGACGAGGUCCUGAGGAAGGCUGGUCCUGCUGUUCAGCUGCCAGCCCUCUGUUCUGCUGGGAAGCUUUUGGCCA